AGUAUACCGGAAGGUGUGCUUGGAAAC
rnacentral:rRNA from 4 species